UAAUCCCCAAUUCCUUUCCUCCCUGUUUACUCACCCGUCGCCGCCAUCUACUCUACUCUCCGCUGGUCUCAGCAUUCGCCGUUGCCCUUCAGCCGAGCCGUCGCCAUUGCCGUCCAAUCCAUCUUCCAGCGUCGUUUGUAGGCCCUCCCUCCCCGUCUCCUCUUCUCUCUUCUCUCGUCGAGUGGUUGUCAGCGGUGUGGUGCUCUAUCCCCCCCUGCAUCCUCCACUUCCAGAGUAACAAUGGAGCCUCAGACUCAGGGAUUGUAGGCUAUAUUUGUUCUGUUUUGUGCUACAAGUAUGUUGGUGUAGCUAAGAUUCAUGCCAAUUUAGUAAUCAUAUGUAGCAAUUGUAAUUCUCUAUUAUUAUUCUAUUGGUAUCUAACAUAGUGAGGCAUGAGGCUUCAUGGAUUUUACAAACAAUGGUAUGGGAAUGGAUGUGGAUGCGUAAGAAGUAAAUUUCUCGGUUCUUACUUUUAAGUGAUGUAACAAACUCUGAUGUUCUGAUUUUUAGUUAACCUGUUCUUAUAUUCUGUCUUUGAGUAACCAA